rnacentral:lncRNA from 1 species
GCUGUUUAGAUGUGUGUGAGGCACGGAGCGACGUCCAGCAGACAAGGGCCUCUGGCCCAGAAGAAUGGCAUUUCUGGAUUGUCUGGACCCCCUGGAUCAUCUCCUCUGCUGAAGCACAAAGAGCCAGGCCUCCAGAGAAGGACUGCUUCAGUGCCCACCCUCAGAGUAUGAGGGUCGGAUGAGGAAAUUCGCCUGUGUAGGAUGCCAUCUGUCCCCUGAAUGUCUACAUGUCAU